GGCAACAUCCUUGCACAUUUAUGUCGACCACUACCAGGAAGGUAAAUUUCCAAGGAGAAGAUAGGCCGAAAGACUUGCAAAAGGCAAUACCCAGUUCCCACCACGGGGAAAAAGGAAAAAAGAAAAAAAAACAAGGGUGAAGAUCAUUCCACACUCUUAUAAUCCAGCGGUGAAUAUGCAAGAGUAGCUAGGGUUUGAUAGUUGACAGGGAGUAUAUAAAUGAAGCCAUGAUCAAGAACCUCAUGACUCAGAGUAACAAAAAAAAAAAAAAAAAAAAGAGAAUAGAUGAAGAAAUGGAGAAGGGAGUAAGGAUUUUGGGAAGGUUGUGGGAUGGGUGAGUGGAGAAGAUAACUUCAAUUAAAGAAAAUAAAAGAUACUAACAAUAUUUUGUUCAGUGUUAGUGUUUAUUAUGUUCCCUACUCCACCCAUGCCAUAGGUUUCCUAUUAUUCCUCCCUCUCCUCAUUCAUCAAAGCUUCUCACUUCACUCUUUCUUUCUUUCACUUACCUGUAUUAUACAAUUACGUAGAAGAGGUUUCUUGAUCUGUUUUGUCAUGGGACUGGAAUCCUACAUUGGAUUGCUGGGUGGAGUUUACAUAUUUAAUUUUUCCACAACCCUUGUUAGUGAAUGAAUCAUUCAUGCUCUUUCUUUUUUCUUUUCUUUUUCUGGUUACGAAUAAAGAGAGAAACGCAAGGUCAAAGACUUUUUUAUA